rnacentral:rRNA from 1 species
GAUGAACGCUGGCGGCGUGCCUAAUACAUGCAAGUCGAGCGAACAGACGAGGAGCUUGCUCCUCUGACGUUAGCGGCGGACGGGUGAGUAACACGUGGAUAACCUACCUAUAAGACUGGGAUAACUUCGGGAAACCGGAGCUAAUACCGGAUAAUAUAUUGAACCGCAUGGUUCAAUAGUGAAAGACGGUUUUGCUGUCCCUUAUAGAUGGAUCCGCGCCGCAUUAGCUAGUUGGUAAGGUAACGGCUUACCAAGGCAACGAUGCGUAGCCGACCUGAGAGGGUGAUCGGCCACACUGGAACUGAGACACGGUCCAGACUCCUACGGGAGGCAGCAGUAGGGAAUCUUCCGCAAUGGGCGAAAGCCUGACGGAGCAACGCCGCGUGAGUGAUGAAGGUCUUCGGAUCGUAAAACUCUGUUAGUAGGGAAGAACAAAUGUGUAAGUAACUAUGCACGUCUUGACGGUACCUAAUCAGAAAGCCACGGCUAACUACGUG